rnacentral:rRNA from 1 species
CAGCCGCCGCGGUAAUACGUAGGGUGCAAGCGUUAAUCGGAAUUACUGGGCGUAAAGCGUGCGCAGGCGGUUUUGUAAGACAGAGGUGAAAUCCCCGGGCUCAACCUGGGAACUGCCUUUGUGACUGCAAGGCUAGAGUACGGCAGAGGGGGAUGGAAUUCCGCGUGUAGCAGUGAAAUGCGUAGAUAUGCGGAGGAACACCGAUGGCGAAGGCAAUCCCCUGGGCCUGUACUGACGCUCAUGCACGAAAGCGUGGGGAGCAAACAGGAUUAGAUACCCGGGUAGUCCCUGUCUCUUAUAC